rnacentral:misc_RNA from 1 species
UGUGGGAGCGAGCCUGCUCGCGAUGGCGCCAUUACAUUCAACAUUGACGUUGAAUGAUAGGCCGCUAUCGCGAGCAGGCUCGCUCCCACA